GGAUAAGUUAUCCCUCUCUUUGGGUGGUAUAGUAAUCCCGAGAUAACUUAUCCCGGGAUAAAAUAGGUAAAUGACAAAAAUGUCUCUUUCAACCCUUUUGUUGUAUCACUUUUUACCUUAAUGAAGGGCAUUUUUGUAAAUAAAUAAAUUGUUCUUAAAAUUUAUUAUUUUGAAUAUAACAAACCAAACACUCAAUAAAAAAUAAUCCCAACACAACUUAUCCCAUCAUAACUAAUCCCAACAUAACUUAUCCCAACAUAACUUAUCCCAUCAUAACUCAUUUUCAAACCAAACGACCCCUAAGAGUAUA
rnacentral:lncRNA from 1 species